rnacentral:rRNA from 1 species
UACGUAGGAUGCAAGCGUUGUCCGGAUUUAUUGGGCGUAAAGAGUACGUAGGCGGUUUGUUAAGUCAGGGGUUAAAGACUGAGGCUCAACCUCAGGAGUGCCCUUGAUACUGGCAGGCUGGAGGACGGCAGAGGAAAGUGGAAUUCCCAGUGUAGCGGUGAAAUGCGUAGAUAUUGGGAGGAACACCAGUGGCGAAAGCGACUUUCUGGCCGUUCCUGACGCUGAGGUACGAAAGCGUGGGGAGCAAACAGG